AUUGAACGCUGGCGGCAGGCCUAACACAUGCAAGUCGAGCGGAUGAGUGGAGCUUGCUCCAUGAUUCAGCGGCGGACGGGUGAGUAAUGCCUAGGAAUCUGCCUGGUAGUGGGGGACAACGUUUCGAAAGGAACGCUAAUACCGCAUACGUCCUACGGGAGAAAGCAGGGGACCUUCGGGCCUUGCGCUAUCAGAUGAGCCUAGGUCGGAUUAGCUAGUUGGUGGGGUAAAGGCCUAUCAAGGCGACGAUCCGUAACUGGUCUGAGAGGAUGAUCAGUCACACUGGAACUGAGACACGGUCCAGACUCCUACGGGAGGCAGCAGUGGGGAAUAUUGGACAAUGGGCGAAAGCCUGAUCCAGCCAUGCCGCGUGUGUGAAGAAGGUCUUCGGAUUGUAAAGCACUUUAAGUUGGGAGGAAGGGCAGUAAGUUAAUACCUUGCUGUUUUGACGUUACCAACAGAAUAAGCACCGGCUAACUUCGUGCCAGCAGCCGCGGUAACAC
rnacentral:rRNA from 1 species